rnacentral:lncRNA from 10 species
CAGAUAACCACCUUUAACUCUAACUUUCCACUGCCUACCCCAGUCCUAUAAAGCUGCCCCUCUCUUAUCUCCCUUCACUGACUGUCUUUUUGGACUCAGCCCACUUGCAUCCGAGUGAAUAAACAGCCUUGCUGCUUACACAAAGCCUGUUUAGGUGGUCUUCUAUAUGGACACGCAUGACAAUAUUUACAACAAAUACCAAGGAAGAGCUAAGAGCACAUAGCAUUUCCCAGGCUUAUUAGACUGUGGGAUCAACCUCUUUAAGAAAGCAUUUUGCAGAAUUGUUGUUCACAGGUCAUUCUGCAGUGUGAAGUUUUUUUUGCAAUAAGAUCCUUACUCUAGAGUUAACUUCACUAGGAAGUACACUCUGGGUGUUUACCUUUAGAGCUUCAGUUUCUACAAGAAUUUGGCACCGGUUGGGUCUUGUAGAAAUAUUUACUGCAUGGAGUUGAAAGAAGAGUCUGGACUGGGAGAAGGAUGUAUGGAUAAAGAACAAGGGUUCUUUUCAGAAAACCAAGCAGCUACUGGAUACUGACCUUAUUCUAAAGGCCAACAGAAGUGGAAUAAGGUGCAAUUUGGAAUUCAAUCAAUAUUGAAGGAUGACGGUGACCUUUGGGAAAUAGGAUUCAGCGAUGUCUUUUUAAAUUCUGUUAUUUGUACAUAACGCACUCUUACAGAUUUUUUAAAAAAUCCAAUUCCACAUGAAAAACUUUUACACUGAAUUUAUUACAUUUUUAAAAAUACAUAAACUCAGACUUUAUUUUUUAUUUUUUCUUAUUUCCCUUGCUGCUGCCUAUAGGAUCUUGCACACUUGUGGCCAGUCACUCUAAAAGCAGCAAGCAUGUCUCAUGGGACUACAAACAGAGAGGCAUGCAUUUGUAUUUUUGUGGUCCUAGGACAUGGGACCAGUGCUCAUGCUGUAGGGGUUUGUGCCCAGGGAGGCUUGAGGAUGCCUGAGAAAAAGUGAUUGGGUGUCUAAACUCCAUGGCAAAAUGUCGCUUCCUAAAUAUGCCAUCUGAGUCCUUGAGAGUUGUAAUUACUCAUGGUGGCAUUCUAGCCCUGUCCUCUUUCAGCCUUAAUAAAAAAAUCAACCAACAAGUAGUGAACAUGAGACCUAAAAUGUGCUCCUUUGCGUUGAUUAUUUCUUGGCAAAUCAUGUUUUAGAAGCUCAUUAGCAGUAUGUUUUAUCAAAGAAAUAAAAGAGUUUCACACUUUCUUUUCUCUCAAUUAUCCUGUGAUAUUUCUAUUUCCUUUUGCUGAUAUCUCAGUGAGUAAAUUUACUCCUGGACAUUAUUUUAACUCAUUUUGAUGCAAACUGACUGAGGGAUAAGUAAUUGUGAAUUACUGAGGUCAAGCAGGAGGUUAUGCAUAUCGCUUUUAAAUGUUACUGACACAUCUACCAUUUUCUUAUGAGAAGUUUAUUGUUGGACCAUGUUUUCUUAGUACUUUUAAUUAAUUUACCAAUUCAAUGUAAGGGUCUUGGGGAGAAAUAUGAAAUAUCCUUCUUAAGAAGUAAAUUUUUGAUUCUUUCCUUUAUAAAGUUCUCAGAAAACAUUGCUCUUUAUAAAUGUUGGCAAGGGGCUAUACACUAGGUUCUUGAAUUUGAACAUUAAGAAAAU